AUUAACGACAUUUAUUUGACAUUUAUAGCAAACAUCGUAAAUUUCGUUGUCGGGAAUUUUCCGACAUUUACAUUAAUGUUGGCAAAUAAAUAGUGACAUUUAUAUACUGACUUUUUAUCAAAUGUCACCAGCUUGAGUACAAAAUCAAUAUAGUUUCAACAUACAAAGAAAUGUCGGCAAUCUUACUCAUCCUUUCUACAUAUACAUGCAAAAUGUCGGUAAAUCUUCUUUUGUCAAUAGCUUUUUUUCUUUUUAUACUUGAAGGAAGUUAAUAAUUCUUAUCUACUAAUAACACAAUCAUUCAUACAAUUUUGAUACUACAAUGCCAUACCCAACAAAAGAAUUUUGAAUUAAAACAAAAGAGAUACGUACACAUUAUUUUUGAAAAUCUUACAAUACCACUCAGUAGUGGUUCUCAAAAAUAUAAAGUUUUUCCCCAGUACAUAUUCAGAACAAGCUAUGCUAACUAUAAAUAAACUCCAAUGUUGAGUACAAAAAAUAUUAAUUCACAACAGUUCUUUGCACAAGAGUUUCUCUUUUGACUCCAAUUUUUGCAUAUCAACCUGACAUAAAACCAAACAAUAAAAGCAAUAAUUAGAAGUUAAAAAUUCAAGGUAACAAAAACCAGUUAGCAAACCACUUCUAUAGAGUUAUAUGGCAUAUGAUAUCACAUGCAAAGUUAGAAUCCGUGCAGCUUAAAAACCUUUCAUCAUACAAACAAAAAUGAAUAAUAGACUUACUUAUCACAAAGAAAAAUAAAACAAUAAGAAACUUCAAGUCUUCGAAUACGAGCCACAAUGUAAAUAUGUACCAUAAAGUAAGAAAAUGCAAAAUGUGCUUGAACACAUCUACAUCUGUUUAGUUAACAUACAGAAUGCGAAGUUCUCUCUAUCCUUUUCCUCUCCCUAAUCCCUUCUAACUAAGCAUGACAUUUCAAUUUUAGGAUUAAAUGAUGUUUGUAUAAUCAUUUGGAUAUACUGAUACCCUUUUCGCAAGGAAACCACAAGAAUUUUCUUUAUCUCAAAGAUAUUGUGAAGAGUAUAACCUUUGACGAGCUGGCAGACCUUGAGUAUGCUCCUAACACAACUCAUUUUCAAUACUUGCAUGGUAAUCUUGUUAGUAUUGCAUUUUAGGUCUAAUCAACCAAGCAAACGUCUAGAGGUAUUGAUAGGUAAUACAAACUAGAUAUUUACUUAUCUCAAUUUAAGGAGAUGAUCCUCUUGAGUGACCUACGGAUGAGAACCACAAUCAACUAGAAUUCAGAGGCCAUAUUUGGUUAAUGACCAUGCUAUAGAGGUCAUUUUUCUCCUAGAAAUACAUAGUACUAUCCAUAUUCUUACUCAUGAAAAGCAGAAUGUCAUCUCCUGUGAGGAAUCUAACAUUAUAAAUCGAUGAGGUUAGUUAUUUGGUGCUACAGUUUCAAGUUUUUCUUCCUCUGGUGAACUAAUCUCGAGUAUUUAUGUGUCAAGGAAACAUAAUCUUGCUUAUUUUUCUACUAAAGUUUUGGCAUUAUAGGUGUAAAUAAGUUAUUCUAUCAUACUAAAAGAUUAUUCUAUCGGACUUAAAUGUAAUCUUACCCAACUAAAUGCAAAAGCGUGAUAUUUCCUAUAAGGCAUAGUUCAGUUUCUGACUUAUCCAAGCUAGAUUUCUGUAAUUUGGACCUGCAGGUACCUUUCUACACUCAUCCUACCACUAUUAGCACCUAUAAACCUAAUCAACUAAUUAAAUAAUUUACAUGGACUAAGAAGGAGCGUAACAAGGAUGAACUAUAACAACAUGACAGUAAAACAAUCAUAUUAAAGAUGUAAGAAUAGACAAAAUACAAUAAAAGAAAGAAUCAACCAAAUAAAAUAAAAACUGCGAAUACACAAUGACAUUAAAAGGAAAAAGGCGGAGAUACUAAAGAUACUAAAGCUUUAUCCCCAAAAUGAUUCAAUUUCAUCACUCCACAAUAGCCAUGUAUCUUCAACAUAAAUAGAGAACUGUUAAAUUCAUAAAUAACUCUAUCUACCACUUCCCAAGCACAACAAACUUCGGUACAUCAAACUAAACGAAAGGUCAACCAUUUUAAAGGCAGAAAAUACAAUCCAGUGGACAUAAUAGAAUGAAAAUCACAAAAAGAAAAUACUUAACACACCUUAAUAACCUCGAUCAAAAGUCUGAGAAGUAUCAGUAGUAUCUGUCAUGUUUAGAGUUUAGAACAAUCUAAGACCAACCUGGUUGCUUCCCCUUUCAAUUUUCGGCGCCACACUGAGAUUUGCUUAUCGCUAAUCGAGUGCAACUUUGAACUUCGAGAAUGUGAUUUGCAAUCGAUCAAUUUGUGAAUUUGAGAUGACGACAUCAAUUAUUUGGGUAUGAGGAAAGGGGAAGAUCGGAGGCAUGGUUUUAAGAGGAAAGAUUGGGGUUAGGGUUUUUAAUAAACAUAGUUGACCAUGCCUAUAUAUUUUUAGCUUAAUAAGUAUAAAUGUAAG
rnacentral:lncRNA from 1 species